GCGAAAUGUUGCAUCUAAUGGCACUUAAAUCAGUCAUACCUCCCGAAACUUGAACGUUAAAAGGUUGGAUAAGUUUUUUUUGGCUGCUCUUUCAAUACUCGAAGACAAUUUCUAGUCAGGACAAAGAAUAAAUGGUUCGACUACAGCAGAUUGCAGUAGUGCUGAUGUUCGUCCCUUGGUUCACACUGGUACUCGUGAAUAGUUGUGCCACCUACGAUUUUGAAAGCUGCAGGACUGAGACUGGUGCUUAUGGCGACUGCGCGGAGGGCCAAACUACUUGCACACCAGAAUGCGAGUGCAUUUCCGUGAAGAGAAAAAGUUCAGGCGUCUGGCGCAACUUCUGUGCUAAAUGUGUGGAAUAACUUCAAGAAAAAGAACGCUGAGAGGAAACAAAAAACCAAGAAUGGUUCCAGCAUGUGAUAUGAAGGGGCCAAAUGAAUAUUUGACAACGGGUCGGAAUUAUCAAGUUGUUUUUGAGGUGAAGGAAUUUUUAAAAUGUUGAUUCAUUUCAUUAAUCAGCCAAUAGCAACAGACUUUGAUCAGUUGAA